UGUCGCCUAUGGGGGGCAGCAGUGGGGAAUAUUGCACAAUGGGGGAAACCCUGAUGCAGCGACGCCGCGUGAGUGAAGAAGUAUUUCGGUAUGUAAAGCUCUGUCAGCAGGGAAGAAAAUGACGGUACCUGACCAAGAAGCCCCGGCUAACUACGUGCCAGCAGCCGCGGUAAUACGUAGGGGGCAAGCGUUAUCCGGAUUUACUGGGUGUAAAGGGAGCGUAGACGGCAGGGCAAGUCUGGAGUGAAAGGCGAGGGCUCAACCCCCGGACUGCUCUGGAAACUGCCAGGCUGGAGUGCAGGAGG
rnacentral:rRNA from 1 species